UGGAAACCCAUUCUUCUCUAGGAAGCCACUGCUGCAACGAGACCCUUGUCUCUUCGGGGGAUCUAGUUCCCUGUUUAGUUCCAGGCCGUGAGACCCAACCAAGUCGAUUGCUAACACGAUGCACGUGGGUAUCUACACAAAUCCCUUCAACUUUGUUCCAUGCCAUAAUCAUGACCAGGUGAGCUAUCUUGGGACCAACACCUGGAAGUAGAAGCAACUCGUCCA
rnacentral:misc_RNA from 1 species